AUUGAACGCUGGCGGCAUGCCUUACACAUGCAAGUCGAACGGUAACAGGUCUUCGGAUGCUGACGAGUGGCGAACGGGUGAGUAAUACAUCGGAACGUGCCCAGUAAUGGGGGAUAGCCCGGCGAAAGCCGGAUUAAUACCGCAUACGCCCUGAGGGGGAAAGUGGGGGACCGCACGGCCUCACGUUAUUGGAGCGGCCGAUGGCUGAUUAGCUAGUUGGUAGGGUAAAGGCCUACCAAGGCGACGAUCAGUAGCUGGUCUGAGAGGACGAUCAGCCACACUGGGACUGAGACACGGCCCAGACUCCUACGGGAGGCAGCAGUGGGGAAUUUUGGACAAUGGGGGAAACCCUGAUCCAGCAAUGCCGCGUGUGCGAAGAAGGCCUUCGGGUUGUAAAGCACUUUUGUCAGGGAAGAAAUCCUUUGGGCUAAUACCCUAGGGGGAUGACGGUACCUGAAGAAUAAGCACCGGCUAACUACGUGCCAGCCGCCGCCGUAAGAC
rnacentral:rRNA from 1 species